rnacentral:rRNA from 1 species
GAUGAACGCUGGCGGCGUGCCUAAUACAUGCAAGUCGAGCGAACAGACGAGGAGCUUGCUCCUCUGACGUUAGCGGCGGACGGGUGAGUAACACGUGGAUAACCUACCUAUAAGACUGGGAUAACUUCGGGAAACCGGAGCUAAUACCGGAUAAUAUAUUGAACCGAAAGGUUCAAUAGUAAAAGACGGUUUUGCUGUCACUAAUAGAUGGAUCCGCGCCGCAUUAGCUAGUUGGUAAGGUAACGGCUUACCAUGGCAACGAGGCGUAUCCGACCUGAGAGGGUAUUAGAUCUCACUGGACCAGUGCAACGGACCAGACUCCUGCAGUGGGAAGCAGGAGGGUAUCCUCCGUGAUGGAUGAGUGCGUGAUGUAGCAACUCCGCGGAAGUGAUGAACUGAUUGGAUUCGUAGAAUUCUGUAAUGUGGUAAGAAGGAAAAUGUUAGGAACUAGGAUCAUGAUGACAGUAACUAAUAAGAAAGCCACGGCUAACUACGUG